rnacentral:rRNA from 1 species
GAUGAACGCUGGCGGCGUGCCUAAUACAUGCAAGUCGAGCGAACAGACGAGGAGCUUGCUCCUCUGACGUUAGCGGCGGACGGGUGAGUAACACGUGGAUGACCUACCUAUAAGACUGGGAUAACUUCGGGAAACCGGAGCUAAUACCGGAUAACAUGUUGAACCGCAUGGUUCAACAGUGAAAGACGGUCUUGCUGUCACUUAUAGAUGGAUCCGCGCCGCAUUAGCUAGUUGGUAAGGUAACGGCUUACCAAGGCAACGAUGCGUAGCCGACCUGAGAGGGUGAUCGGCCACACUGGAACUGAGCCACGGUCCAGACUCCUACGGGAGGCAGCAGUAGGGAAUCUUCCGCAAUGGGCGAAAGCCUGACGGAGCAACGCCGCGUGAGUGAAGAAGGUCUUCGGAUCGUAAAACUCUGUUAUUAGGGAAGAACAAAUGUGUAAGUAACUAUGCACGUCUUGACGGUACCUAAUCAGAAAGCCACGGCUAACUACGUG